rnacentral:snoRNA from 1 species
GCACCUGCACGCAAGGCCUCCCAGCGCUCACGUCGCCGGGAGCAUAUCCGGACCUGUGAUUCCUUGUAAGGGCAGAAGUCCACUCAUCUGGCACGGUGGGCGCCCUAACCUUAGCAAGGCAACGCUGGUGACUUAGAUGGAGACACGU